rnacentral:lncRNA from 1 species
UUCCUCUUCGGCGUGGUGUGGUACCUGGUGGCCGUGGCCCACGGAGACCUGCUGGAGCUGGGCCCCCCGGCCAACCACACCCCCUGCGUGGUGCAGGUGCACACGCUCACGGGGGCCUUCCUCUUCUCCCUCGAGUCCCAGACCACCAUCGGCUACGGCUUCCGCUACAUCAGCGAGGAGUGCCCGCUGGCCAUCGUGCUGCUGAUCGCCCAGCUGGUGCUCACCACCAUCCUGGAAAUCUUCAUCACGGGCACCUUCCUGGCGAAGAUCGCGCGGCCCAAGAAGCGGGCCGAGACCAUCCGUUUCAGCCAGCACGCCGUCGUGGCCGCCCACGACGGGAAGCCCUGCCUCAUGAUCCGCGUUGCCAACAUGCGCAAGAGCCUCCUCAUCGGCUGCCAGGUGACGGGCAAACUGCUCCAGACCCACCAGACCAAAGAGGGCGAGAACAUCCGGCUCAACCAGG